GACUCUCGGCAACGGAUAUCUCGGCUCUUGCAUCGAUGAAGAACGUAGCGAAAUGCGAUACUUGGUGUGAAUUGCAGAAUCCCGUGAACCAUCGAGACUUUAAAUAGGUAGGACGGCGCGGCUGCUCUGUUGAGCCGUGCCACGGAAUCGGGAGCUCCA